CAGCUAUGACAUGCACAGAGUAGCACUGGCCAGGUGCAGUGGUACACUGUGAGCAGGUGUCAGGAACCUAUGCACUUUCUGCCCUUCUUUCCUGUACCCCUCCCUGGCCCAGGAGGAGUUCACAGCAACAUAUCUGCUGUUGCCCCAAGCAAAUGUACUCUGGCUGCUAAUUUGCAGCUGUGCCUACGUGCCGGAGGCUGUCGAUCCCAGUUUAAUAACCACCUUAGAUAAGACCUUGGAGAAACAGUAUCUGUAACAAGAGAGGGAAGUAGCUGAGAAGAGGCUUCUGGCUUGCUGGCAUUGCAGAUGGAGGAGCUUGAGAACUGCCACGCUGGUGCGAUUGUUCUGGUGUCUGUGCUGCUGACCAUAGUCAGUAACAAACAUCUUAAAGGAAAGUAUGCUAAUGCUCCCCAUUUCUGGGAUGCAUUUUCUGCCCCCUAGACAAGCUGUUUAAUCUCCCUGCUCCUCAGAUAAAGCUUGGCUGGAAGCCUGAAGCAUGAAGUUUUAUAGCUUUUCCAAAACUAUUUCUUUUCUUACAAUGUAAAUUAUCUCUGGUGGUGGUUAUCCUUUUUUUAUGCGACUAUCCAAUAUUCUCUUUAACUCUUCUUGCUCUUUGCCUCCAAGCAUUGUGAUAAUGAGUUAAACAGACUAAAUAGUGAGAAGAAGUGCAGCUUGUAACUUGAACUGGUAUGAAGUAUGUCCCUUUUUCAUAUUUUCUGAGCCAGCCUGGGGGAAGCUUGCCCAACCACUGGCUCAGGUGCAGUUGUUCUGAGGCACUUGAAACAUCUGGUCCCAUGGUACCGUGUGGCUGCAACCUACUGUCCACAUAGAAGUAAUCAAGCACACUUCGUGUUGUAAAACCCCACAACAACAAAACAAUGCCUCAUAAUCCACGGGAAUGUUCCAUACCACCUCAGGGCAAGUGCCUUUUAAUGGCUUUUUUACUCCGAGUUUGAUCAGAUUCCAGACUCUUUUAAGAUGAGAGCACCAUAAAUGUUGGAAAUGAGGUACUCUAUUUCAGGGAAAAUACAAAAGCCAGACUGCGUAGUUCUGUGAAGUAGAAACAGAGUUGUUACACUGUGAGAGAUAGCAGGGCUGCCUUAAUAGAUGGCAUUCAAGUGCAGCUGUUUAUGGGUCUUAACUGGUGUUGGCCCACAAAACACAUACUUAGAAAGGAAAUCAGGGAAAGCUAACACAUGCCUGGGGGCUUUGAAGUUGUUAUUAUCAGCCACAUACAAAAGAACGGGAGAUCCUCU